CCUACGGGAUGCAGCAGUGAGGAAUAUUGGUCAAUGGGCGUAAGCCUGAACCAGCCAAGUCGCGUGAGGGAUGAAGGUUCUAUGGAUCGUAAACCUCUUUUAUAAGGGAAUAAAGUGUGGGACGUGUCCUGUUUUGUAUGUACCUUAUGAAUAAGGAUCGGCUAACUCCGUGCCAGCAGCCGCGGUAAUACGGAGGAUCCGAGAGUUAUCCGGAUUUAUUGGGUUUAAAGGGUGCGUAGGCGGCCUUUUAAGUCAGCGGUGAAAGUCGGUGGCUCAACCAUAGAAUUGCCGUUGAAACUGGGAGGCUUGAGUAUGUUUGAGGCAGGCGGAAUGCGUGGUGUAGCGGUGAAAUGCUUAGAUAUCACGCAGAACCCCGAUUGCGAAGGCAGCCUGCCAAGCCAUGACUGACGCUGAUGCACGAAAGCGUGGGGAUCAAACAGGAUUAGAUACCCCAGUAGUC
rnacentral:rRNA from 1 species